UGGUCUGUGAUGAUUAUGUAUUUUAAUUGCCUGACAAAUCCAUGAGGGCAAUUUUAGUCACUACCUCUUCUGAGACCG